UAGUUUACCUGGUACAACUCUGACUGUCACAGAUCUCCAGGUUCAGGUGAUCAGAUCAACAGUCUACCAGAAUUAUACUGAGGCAGAGCUGCUUUGUCACAGCAGCUGUCGUCUACCUGAUCGUUCUUCCUACGUCUGGUUCAAGAAUGGACAGAAAAUGGAAAGCGUGGAGACAUCUUCUUAUAAAGAUCAGUUUUAUCCCAGAGACAUCAUCUCCUGUGCUCUUAAGGGACGUGAGGAUUUCCCCUCUCCUUCAGUGUAUGCUCCAAAGCUUCCCUCUGUGUCAGUGAGUCCCUCUGCUGAGAUAGUGGAGGGCAG